UACGAAGGGGGGCUAGCGUUGUUCGGAAUUACUGGGCGUAAAGCGCACGUAGGCGGGCGAUUAAGUCAGGGGGUGAAAUCCCGGAGCUCAACUCCGGAACUGCCUUUGAUACUGGUCGUCUAGAGAUCGGAAGAGGUGAGUGGAAUUCCCCAGUGUAGAGGUGAAAUUCGUAGAUAUUGGGAAGAACACCAGUGGCGAAGGCGGCUCACUGGUCCGAUACUGACGCUGAGGUGCGAAAGCGUGGGGAGCAAACAGG
rnacentral:rRNA from 1 species